rnacentral:rRNA from 1 species
UCGAUGCAACGCGAAAAACCUUACCUACCCUUGACAUGUCUGGAAUCCUGAAGAGAUUUGGGAGUGCUCGAAAGAGAGCCAGAACACAGGUGCUGCAUGGCCGUCGUCAGCUCGUGUCGUGAGAUGUUGGGUUAAGUCCCGCAACGAGCGCAACCCUUGUCAUUAGUUGCUACGAAAGGGCACUCUAAUGAGACUGCCGGUGACAAACCGGAGGAAGGUGGGGAUGACGUCAGGUCAUCAUGGCCCUUAUGGGUAGGGCUACACACGUCAUACAAUGGCCGGGACAGAGGGCUGCCAACCCGCGAGGGGGAGCUAAUCCCAGAAACCCGGUCGUAGUCCGGAUCGUAGUCUGCAACUCGACUGCGUGAAGUCGGAAUCGCUAGUAAUCGCGGAUCAGCUUGCCGCGGUGAAUACGUUCCCGGGUCUUGUACACACCGCCCGUCACACCAUGGG